GUGUCGGAGCAUAGUCAGUUAGUAGCUGUUAAGAUGUUACAGGAGUUAUUUAACCUCUCUAAAUUCAGUUUCCUCAUUUAUAAAAUAGAUACACUGGGAUCUUCCUCAGGGUUUUGUGGACACAAAUUUAAUGAUCCAAUAAAUGUUAGCCAUCGGAAAUAUUGUCAGGUUAACGUUUUUCUUUCAGAGAGUCAUGUUUGCAGAUUCCAAAAGAUGCCAGUAGGGAAUAGGCUGUGUUUUAGGGAUGAGUUUAAUUGAGGCAAUUGUUAAAAAUUAUAAUUUUCGGCUGGGCGCGGUGAUUCACGCCUGUAAUCCCAGCACUUUGGGAGGCUGAGGCGGGCGGAUCACUUGAGGUCAGGAGUUCAAGACCAGCCUCAACAUGGAGAAACCCCAUCUCUACUAAAAAUACAAAAUUAGCCAGGCAUAGUGGUGCAGGCCUGUAAUCUCAGCUACUCGGGAGGCUGAGGCAGGAGAAUUGUUUGAACCUGGGAGGCGGAGGUUGCGGUGAGCCGAGAUCUCGCCAUUGCACUCCAGCCUGGGCAACAGCAGGGAAACUCCGUCUCAAAAAAAAAAAAAAAAAAAAAAAAAAAGGGUGUGGUGGUGGGCGCCUGUAAUCCCAGCUACAUGGGAGGCUGAGGCAGGAGAAUGGUGUGAACCCAGGAGGCAGAGCUUGCAGUCAGCCGAGAUCGCACCACUGCACUCCAGCCUGGGCGACAGAGCGAGACUUGUCUCAAAAAAAAAAAAAAAUGUAAUUUUCUCAGGCUACUCAUUAGUGAUUGAACAGUGGGUGAUACAAAACUUUCCUAGCAUGAUCAUGGUUAAUUGACAUAGUGAAAUUGGGUGGUGUAGAUAACUAGUUUCCAUGUUUUCUUAGAGUAAUGUUACCAGAUUCCUCUCCUUGUUAUUAAAUUUCUGGUUAUUUUUUCGCACAUAUACUUAAUUCUGACACACACACUCACAUAUAUUCUACCGAGAGGAUUGCCCCCUCCUCCCAGAUCUCAAGUGAAGCAUCCGUGAUGCUUUUCUGCUAUAAACAGAGCCCUUAUUGAUGACAUUCACAUGAAAACCAUGUGUUUAAAUGUGUUAUAUAUUGAAGCAUGGUCAACUUUACAUAUUUUAAUAUUUUAAGUGUCUACUGCAGUGUAGUACAGCUGAGGCUAUCUGUAUAUACAUACUAUUAGAAAAGAAAAUGUGUGAGCCACUGCGCCUGGCUGCUUGUUUGUUUUUUAAUAAAUAAUGAUUUUACUUGGGAGGCCAAGAUGGGAGGAUUACUUAAACUCAGGAAUUUGAGACCAGCCUGGGCAGCAUAGCAAGAUCCUGUCUCUACAAAAAAAUAAAAAAUUUGCCAGGCAUGGUGGUGCAUGCCUAUAGUCCCAGCUACUCAGGAGGCUGAAGCAGGAGGAGCACUUGAACAAGGAAGUCGAGGCUACAGUGAGCUGUGAUCAUACCAUUGCACUCCAGCCUAGAAACAGAGCAGGACCAUGUCUCAAAAAAAUUUUUUUUGGCCAGACGUGGUGGCUCAUACCUGUAAUCCCAGCACUUUGUGAGGCUGAGGCAGGCGGAUCACUUGAGGUCAGGGGUUCAAGAUCAGCCUGGUCCACAUGGUGAAACCCCAUCUCUACUAAAAAUGCAAAAAUUAGCCGGGCAUGGUGGUGGGUGUCUGUAAUCCCAGCUACUCAGGGGAGUGAGGCAGGAAAAUCAUUUGAACCUGGGAGGCAGAGGUUGCAGUGAGCCGAGAUCACAUCACUGCACUCCAGCCUGGGCAACAGAGCAAAACUCCAUCUCAAAAAUAAUAAUAUUUUUAAAGUUACUUUGGGCCAGGCACAGGCUCACACCUAUAAUCCCAACACGUUGGGGGGCCAAAGCAGGUGAAUCACUGUAACCCAGGAGUUCAAGACCAACCUGGACAACAUAGCAAGACCCCCCUGUCUCUACAAAACAUUUUUUUAAAAAUCUGUUUGUGGUGGCCUAUACCUGUGGUUCCAGCUACUUGGGAGUUUAAGGUCAGAGGAUUGCUUGAGCCUGGGAGGUCGAGGCUGCAGUGAGCUGUGAUCAUGCCACUGCAAUCUAGCCUGAGUGACAGUGCAAGACUCUGUCUUUCCAAAACAAACAAAAAAAAAGGUUAUUUUGUCUUUGAGGGUACAGGUUGUUUUUUGUUUAAUAGAAAGCACAGUUCUCUGCUUUUUUUCCUAAACUGCUCUGGUUAAGUUGGAGACACGUUUGAGUAUGGUACUUUGUUUAAUUGAAGGUAUUUGUAUUGGUCUUGCCCCAU
rnacentral:lncRNA from 1 species